rnacentral:rRNA from 1 species
UAAUACGUAGGGGGCGAGCGUUGUCCGAAGUUACUGGGCGUAAAGAGCGCGUAGGCGGGUCUUUAAGUGAGAGGUGAAAGGUUCAGGGCUCAACCCGAACACUGCCUUUCAUACUGGGGAUCUUGAGUGCGGGAGAGGCGAGUGGAAUGGUCGGUGUAGCGGUGAAAUGCGUAGAUAUCGAUCGGAACACCCAUGGCGAAGGCAGCUCGCUGGCCUGCAACUGACGCUGAGGCGCGAAAGCGUGGGGAGCAAACAGGAUUAGAUACCCUGGUAGUCCACGCCGUAAACGAUGAGUGCUAGGUGUAAGGGGUAUCGACCCCCCUUGUGCCGCAGCUAACGCAAUAAGCACUCCGCCUGGGGAGUACGGCCGCAAGGUUG